rnacentral:rRNA from 1 species
UACGAAGGGUGCAAGCGUUAUUCGGAUUGAUUGGGCGUAAAGGGUGUGUAGGUGGUGUGCUAAGUCAACUGUCAAAUUCCUUGGCUUAACCAAGGGCCGGCAGUAGAUACUGGUAUGCUAGAGGGUGGAAGAGAGAAGUGGAAUUCUCGGAGUAGCGGUAAAAUGCGUAGAUCUCGAGAAGAACACCGAUGGCGAAGGCAGCUUCUUGGUCCAUUCCUGACACUGAGGCACGAAAGCGUGGGGAGCAAACAGG